rnacentral:rRNA from 1 species
UACAGAGGUCUCAAGCGUUGUUCGGAUUCAUUGGGCGUAAAGGGUGCGUAGGCGGCGCGGUAAGUCGGAUGUGAAAUCUCGGAGCUUAACUCCGAAACUGCAUUCGAUACUGCCGUGCUUGAGGACUGGAGAGGAGACUGGAAUUUACGGUGUAGCGGUGAAAUUCGUAGAUAUCGGGAGGAACACCAGUGGCGAAGGCGGCGAUCUGGGAAGAUACUGACGCUGAGGUGCGAAAGCGUGGGGAGCAAACAGG